rnacentral:rRNA from 1 species
CCCUCCCUCUUUCUUCAUGCCUAAUACAUGCAAGUCGAACGAGAUCUUCGGAUCUAGUGGCGCACGGGUGCGUAACGCGUGGGAAUCUGCCCUUGGGUUCGGAAUAACUUCUGGAAACGGAAGCUAAUACCGGAUGAUGACGUAAGUCCAAAGAUUUAUCGCCCAAGGAUGAGCCCGCGUAGGAUUAGGUAGUUGGUGAGGUAAAGGCUCACCAAGCCGACGAUCCUUAGCUGGUCUGAGAGGAUGAUCAGCCACACUGGGACUGAGACACGGCCCAGACUCCUACGGGAGGCAGCAGUAGGGAAUAUUGGACAAUGGGCGAAAGCCUGAUCCAGCAAUGCCGCGUGAGUGAUGAAGGCCUUAGGGUUGUAAAGCUCUUUUACCCGGGAUGAUAAUGACAGUACCGGGAGAAUAAGCGCCGGCUAACUCCGUG